AGGAGGAACAGCCCCAGUGGCAGGGCCAGCUCUGGAAACCUGGAUUCAGCUCCGGCAGGAACUCCGUCUGCAGGGCCUGGAGGCUCCGGGGCGGG
rfam:Canis lupus familiaris chromosome X, whole genome shotgun sequence.